rnacentral:rRNA from 1 species
GACGUAGGAGGCGAGCGUUGUCCGGAUUCAUUGGGCGUAAAGAGCGCGCAGGCGGCUUGGUAAGUCGGAUGUGAAAUCCCUCGGCUUAACCGGGGAACUGCGUCUGAUACUGGAUGGCUGGAGUUUGGGAGAGGGAUGCGGAAUUCCAGGUGUAGCGGUGAAAUGCGUAGAUAUCUGGAGGAACACCGGUGGCGAAGGCGGCAUCCUGGACCGGUAUGA